GAUGAACGCUGGCGGCGUGCCUAAUACAUGCAAGUCGAGCGAACAGACGAGGAGCUUGCUUCUCUGACGUUAGCGGCGGACAGGUGAGUAACACGUGGAUAACCUACCUAUAAGACUGGGAUAACUUCGGGAAACCGGAGCUAAUACCGGAUAAUAUAUUGAACCGCAUGGUUCAAUAGUGAAAGACGGUUUUGCUGUCACUUAUAGAUGGAUCCGCGCCGCAUUAGCUAGUUGGUAAGGUAACGGCUUACCAAGGCAACGAUGCGUAGCCGACCUGAGAGGGUGAUCGGCCACACUGGAACUGAGACACGGUCCAGACUCCUACGGGAGGCAGCAGUAGGGAAUCUUCCGCAAUGGGCGAAAGCCUGACGGAGCAACGCCGCGUGAGUGAUGAAGGUCUUCGGAUCGUAAAACUCUGUUAUUAGGGAAGAACAAAUGUGUAAGUAACUAUGCACGUCUUGACGGUACCUAAUCAGAAAGCCACGGCUAACUACGUG
rnacentral:rRNA from 1 species